AUGUCUCCAAUCAACGUAGAUGAUGUAGUGGUUGCUGGAACGCUGAUACCCACUGGCAUCGUGCCCAGCGGGGUAGCCACUGGAGCAAUGAAGGUCUUCGGCGGCGUCUUACCCAUCUGGCACUCGGCGCUGUCGAAUGCGGGCGCCGCAGCCCCGGGCCCCGGCGCGGCCUCGUCUCUCUCGCUCGGCCACAUCGUCUUUGGCGUUGCGGGGUCGGCGCAUCUCUGGCCACGCCGCCGCGAGUACGUCCACUUGUGGUGAACCCUCCAGCCUCCACUAUGCGCGGCAACGUCGGGCUCGACGCGGGCGCGCCCGGCGCGCCGGGGCCUAGCACCCCCUGGGUGGGCUCCCUCCCGCCGAUCCGGGUGUCCGCGGACACCUCGCGGUUCAGGUACACCAACCCCACGGGCCACCCGUCGGGGCUCCGGAUCGCACGCAUCGCCGCUGAGGUCGUGCGGCUCGUCGGCGGAGGGGCGGGGGCGCGGUGGGUUGCGCUUGUCGACGACGACACCGUCCUGCGCGCGGACAACCUGGUCGCCGUGCUCAGCAAGUACGACUAGAGGGAAAUGGUGUACGUCGGGGCGCUGUCCGAGAGCCACUCCGCUAACACAUACUUCAGCCAUAGCAUGGCUUUCGGAGGUGGCGGCAUCGCGCUCAGCUUCCCACUCGCCGCUGCACUCGCACAGACGCUCGACGUGUGCAUCAAGAGGUACCCCAAGUUGUAUGGAAGCGACGAUCGCCUCCAUGCUUGCAUUACAGAGCUCGGUGUGCCCCUAUCCCGCGAAUACGGAUUCCACCAGUGGGAUAUCAGAGGCAAUGCUCAUGGGUUAUUGGCGUCUCAUCCAAUUGUUCCUUUCAUCAGUAUUCACCAUGUGGAGCUUGUGGACCCCAUAUACCCUGGAUUGAACUCCCUUGGAAAGUCUGGAGCUGUUUAUGAAGGCUAUGAAAAUGGAACCCAUGAGCUUCCUGCAGCGUUCAAUUUGUUAUGAUCAAAGCCAAAAGCUUACGUUUGCUAUCUCGUUGGGUUAUGUUGUUGAAGUAUACCCCAAUGUUCUUCUUCCUCGUGAUUUGGAGCGAUCGCAACGUACUUACAUUGCUUAUAAUAGGAUGAGUCAGAGAAAUGAAUUUGAUUUUGACACUAGAGAUGUUCAGAAGUCUUUGUGCAAGAAGCCAAUCUUAUUUUUCUUGAAGGAUGUCUGGAAGGAUGGAAACAUAACUACGGGAUCUUACACACAUUCUAGUGCUAGGGAUGACCUCAAAAGAAAGGUGUUUUGCUUCCGGUCACCCCCUUUAUCUGACAUAGAUGAGAUCCAAGUUUCUUCGUCUCCAUUAAGCACCAAGAAGGUUGUGUACUGCACUUAAAGGAUCUAUUGAUGGUACUCUGUUUAUGGUUGUUCGGCAAUGUGGACGCGGGACUUUUGGUUUAGCUUCUGAUACCUUAUGACUGAUUGGAAACAAAGAUGUAUAUUUUCUGUCCAAAUGAUACCUGGAAGAUGUGGUUACCACCCUACACUCUUUGAGUCAAGUAUCAUUGGGGCUCUUUUUCUGCCUCAAACGCUUGACAG